AACAGAGCCAUAUCUCCCUGCACUGAAGCUAAGCAGGGUUGAGCGUGGCCAGUACCUGGAUGGGAGACCUCCUGGGGAAAACUAUGGUUCCUGCUG
rnacentral:rRNA from 1 species